UACGUAGGGGGCUAGCGUUGUUCGGAAUUACUGGGCGUAAAGAGUGUGUAGGUGGUGUCGUAAGUUUGGUGUGAAAUCUCCCGGCUUAACUGGGAGGGUGCGCCGAAGACUGCGAUGCUGGAGUAUGGGAGAGGAAAGCGGAAUUCCUGGUGUAGCGGUGAAAUGCGUAGAUAUCAGGAGGAACACCUGCGGUGUAGACGGCUUUCUGGACCAUUAC
rnacentral:rRNA from 1 species